CUUGUACUCCCUCCGUCUGAAAAUACUUGUCAUUGAAAUGGAUGUAUCUAAAUGUAUUUUAGUUCUAGACACAUCCAUUUUGAUGACAAGUAAUUCCGGACGGAGGGAGUACUUG
rnacentral:pre_miRNA from 1 species